ACGGAAAAGCAAAAAACAAGAGAAAUAAAGAAGGAAAUGAAACAAUACCGGUCCAAAAGAUAAAAGAUUCUGAAGCUGGAGCGUCAAAUGAAAAAUCAAAGUCCAAGUCAAAUUUGAAAAUUCGAAAGAUUGAAAUAAUAUCGAAUGGACGGAAGGAUGCCCCGUUCGAUUCUGAGAAAAAACCAAUGAUACCGGUAAAAAAAGUACGAAAAGAAACGCUCAAUCAUAAAAAAAGAGGUAAAUCGGACCCUUACGAGUUCGAAAAUGAUAAAGACGACAUACGCGGAAGGCGUACAAGAGCGAGAGAGCUGUUGGAAUUGGGAAAAGAAAAAGCUCAGUGGAAAAGCAGUGAGAAUCGAGGUGAAAAAUAACGCGUCAAAAAUGUAGAUACCGGUAAGAAAGACAUAAUCCAAGUUAAGAACCGAGCGACAUCGACCUCGUGCUACUCUCGAAGCCAA